rnacentral:lncRNA from 10 species
GGAGCAUUUCUCUCCAUUUUCUACAAUGAGAAGAGCAGGAAGGCCUGUUUCUGUUGGCUUGGGUGGGCCGUGGGGCGGAGGCCUGGCUGUGUCUUUGCAGUGUGGCUUUGAUGCUCCCUGGAGGAAGCAGUGUGCGUGGUGGAGAUGGAAGCUUCCAGAAGGGAGGACACCUGAGGCAGUCUGACUGCCCAUAAGCCAGGGACACAAAUAGUUCUCUGAGGGAGGCCAAGGAAAGAACACAGAUGUGGACAGAAUUCUGGGGUGGGGACAGUCACCAGAGCUCCCUGGUGCUCUGAGGUCCCUCGAGGCAGGAGGCUGGGGACAGGAAGUCUUGGCCUUGUUUUUGAGUGUCUCUUGUGUCUGUGUUGGGCUGUGUCCCUUGAGGAGCCAUGGAGUGGGGGCUGGCUCUGUUUGUAUCUUCAGCAAUGGAUCCAGCAGAGAAGAUGCCCAGGCUUCCAGACUCCCUUGGCCACUCCAGGUUCCCAGCCCACAGUGUAUGGCCAGUCUGGGAUUCCAUACUGACUUCUGCGAUGGUGGGCUGGAUGGCUGUGUUCUCACUGGAGUGUCAGACUGCUUCUUCUUGUUUUUGAGACAGAGUCUUACUCUGUCAUCCAGACUGCAGUGCAGUGGCAUGAUUAUAGCUCACGGCAACCUCCACCUCCCCAGGCUCAGGUGAUCCUCCCACCUCGGCCUCCUGAGUAGCUGGGACUACAGGCAUGUACCACCAUGCCCAGCUAAUAUGUUUGUAUUUUCUCUAGAGAAGGGGUUUCAUCAUGUUGUCCAGGCUGGUCUCAAAUUCCUGGAUUCAAGUGGUCCUCCUGCCUCGGCCUCCCAAAGUGCUGGGAUUACAAGCAUGAGCUGUUGUACCCAGUUAUGGAAUGCCAGGCUUCUGCCUGCCUCAUCAUAUGCCCAGCACCUCACCGAACGAGUGGCACAUAGCAGGUGCCAAAUGUGUGGAGAGCACUGCCCACGAAGAAGUGACAACUCUGAAUGCCUUCCUGUGAGAUGGCUCCGUCAGCUGGACUCUCUGGCGUACCUCGGCCUGGCAUGCGAGAAGGGCGGCAGCCCAGUAAGCAGCUGGCACCGCUGCCCCAGCCCACCAGCGUCCCCUGCUGCAUCCCACGUCACCUCGAGUGCUGGCAAUUUUCUAAUUAGCCCGAUGGGUUAUGAUUCGAAGCCGGAAGAGCCAAUUAGCAGGAGUCUCCUUUGACCUCCAGUUUGGGGUGAUAUGAGACGAG